GUGCUCGCUUUGACAGCACAUUUACUAAAAUUGGAAUGAUGCAGAGAAGAUUAGUAUGGCCCCUGCACAAGGAUGACACGUAAAUUCAUGAAGCAUUCCAUAUUAAA